rnacentral:rRNA from 1 species
UACGUAGGGGGCAAGCGUUGUCCGGAAUCAUUGGGCGUAAAGCGCGUGUAGGCGGUUCUGUAAGUCUGCUGUGAAAGUCCAGGGCUCAACCCUGGGAUGCCGGUGGAUACUGUCGGGCUCGAGUCCGGAAGAGGAGUGUGGAAUUCCUGGUGUAGCGGUGAAAUGCGCAGAUAUCAGGAGGAACACCAAUGGCGAAGGCAGCACUCUGGGACGUGACUGACGCUGAGACGCGAAAGCGUGGGGAGCAAACAGG